CAGUAGCCACGGGAAUACGGAGGGGGCUAGCGUUGUUCGGAAUUACUGGGCGUAAAGCGUGCGCAGGCGGUUAUGCAAGACAGAUGUGAAAUCCCCGGGCUCAACCUGGGAACUGCAUUUGUGACUGCAUGACUAGAGCACGGCAGAGGGGGAUGGAAUUCCGCGUGUAGCAGUGAAAUGCGUAGAUAUGCGGAGGAACACCGAUGGCGAAGGCAAUCCCCUGGGCCUGUACUGACGCUCAUGCACGAAAGCGUGGGGAGCAAACAGGAUUAGAUACCCCCGUAGUCCCUGUCUCUUAUAC
rnacentral:rRNA from 1 species